GGAACUGGGGGACCCAAGAGCAGACUCAGCCGAGGAGACUAGGAUGAAGUAACCAAGAUAUUUAUUGACACACGGGGGGAGACUGAGUGCAGGUCAGGGGAAGCUCGGGCGGGUUGCUGGAAACCAGGUGCAGAGGCUUGAGCGAGAGGGGUUGAGACAGGGUAAGCAGGUCCGGAAGGGAAUCCAAGGGAGUAGUAGAGUGGGGAUUCCAGGACAAAGUAGCAGGAUGACGAGACGUGGGACUGGAGACAGGGACCAGAGUCAGAGCGGGCAGAACUAUAGCGGAGAGGAAAACAGCAAAAGGGUAUUGUCCUACUGAAAGGUGAAUUCGUCUCCCAGUGUCUAGUGAAAAGAAGACUGAACCAGGAUUUCCUCUAAGAUUGGUCUGUGCUUAGCUCCAUUCCUUUUAUUCUUUUAUCCUGAAAAACUCCAUAGUCCUUAAAGAUUACAAGCAUACAAAUAACAUGAUGCAGCCACCACUAUGCUUCAAAAUAUGGAGAGUGAUACUCAGCAAUGUGUUGUAUUGGAUUUGCUCCAAAUGUAACACUUUGUAUUCAGGACAAAAAGUGAAUUGCUUUGUCACAUUUUUUACAGUAUUACUGUCACGAAUCCCGUUUCCUGAGUCUGUUUUUUGCCUGUGUUCUGUCCUGGAGUGUUUUUUCCGGCGUCCUGGAACGCACCCUGUCUGGUUGCCGGGCAAUGUAGCCAGUUGGGAGUUCUGAUUACCCGCACCUGUAUCCCAUCAGCUAUCUGCUCACCUGGUCCUGAUCAUCAUCUCUCCUCUUCAUAAGCCCGGACCUGACAUCCAUUCCCUGCCGGAUCGUUAGCCAUGAACAUUACUCACCCGGAUCAUUUACCCCAUUCCCGCCUGGUCGGAGGAGGAUUCCGCUACCCCAUUGGAUCCACCUAAUUACUCCCAUCAACUCACCACCGCUGCCCGCUACGCCACCUGGAUAUAUCUACCCAUUCACAUUCACUUGUAAAUAAAUACUCACCU